CGGGUGAGUAACGCGUGGGUAACCUGCCUCAUACAGGGGGAUAACAGUUAGAAAUGACUGCUAAUACCGCAUAAGCGCACAGAAUCGCAUGAUUCGGUGUGAAAAACUCCGGUGGUAUGAGAUGGACCCGCGUCUGAUUAGCUAGUUGGUGGGGUAAAGGCCUACCAAGGCGACGAUCAGUAGCCGACCUGAGAGGUGAUCGGCCACAUUGGGACUGAGACACGGCCCAAACUCCUACGGAAGGCAGCAG
rnacentral:rRNA from 1 species